AAGUCGUAACAAGGUUUCCGUAGGUGAACCUGCGGAAGGAUCAUUAACACGUAUCCAACGUUAAACAACCCUGUGAACUUUCAACGCUCUUGUAGCCCCAGAGGAACAGCAAUCCCGGUAAAUCAAUGGCGGAAAGUCUUGAUUCGGGACAAUCGAGCAGAGCAGUGGCAUGGUUUCCCUAAGCAGUGCAGAAGAAUCCACUGAGUAAGGAUAACGCAUCACGGUUGCCAGCGGUCGAUCACCGGCCGGCAGACAUGUCACAGGGCGCGCGCGCCCCCUCAUUCACCCCUUGCCCUCUCAAGCCUCGCGGAAACGCCAGGCAUAAAAACCGAACAACUGUUAACAAUGGAUAUCUUGGUUCUC
rnacentral:misc_RNA from 1 species